AAGGGACCUGGCAGAGCCUGGACAUUACUCACUGUCAGGCCAACAAGGUGGACAGACCUGCUGUUAGGUGACCGAGUCCUCUUUGGUGGGUAUCGCGGUUUUUAUUUCCCCAGCAACUUAACUCGCCUUCUGUUGUAGCUGAGUCUGGCACGGAAGACUCGUGGCGGCCCAGGCCCACGCCAAGGGUUAAUGUGAGAUGGCACAGCAUAGGAGACUGAAGAGCGAAAGAAGUCAUAAGAAGGCUUCCUGAGGACUUUGAGGCAACAGAGUGUCUCGUUAAGACCUGACCAUGAGGCAUCUGGUCAUGCCUGUGGAGCCGUGGACAAAUAUGAGGCAGUAGAACAGGACAAAUUCUACCUUGAUACCUCUCUGAAAGAAGGGAGAAGAGUGGGGAAAAUGUGAUCUGUAGUCGAGAUAUGUGGAUAUGCCUCGUCUCAACCUGUUUUUAUGAAGUUGGUUCAGCCUGAAUCACAGUUUAAGAAUUAUCUGCCUACAGAUGCCUCACUUUACAUAAAUGUUGAU
ensembl:processed_transcript